rnacentral:piRNA from 1 species
UCCNCAGUGCCUGGGUCUUUGCUGGCCUCC